UUCCUUCCUUGGCUUUUGUUCAUGCUAAAUCCUUUAAAUGGGUUCUGCGUAGUUUAAUGCCGAGGUACAGCAAAACUUCAAUAUUCAUGUUCCCUUGCGCUCCCAAACGAAAUUAGCAUUGGACGUCCCAAGGUUGAAGACAUUUUAUUAUUUUAACAUCUUUUUU
ensembl:snoRNA snoRNA:Dek-a